rnacentral:misc_RNA from 1 species
UUUAUUUAAUACAAUCUGACUCAAUACAAACAAAGAAAAAGACCAAUACGUCCUAAGUCGUGCCGAAAAUCCGGCAGAGUCUCCCCUAUACCUAGGACCUACCCAACCUGCAAAAGGGUUCAAAAUAUACUUCUAUAUUCACAACCCAUAUAUCCACAACUCAAUCACAUCACACAGCCCCUCCUGGGCCCAUCAAAUCAAUCAUCCAUCACAAUAUGUAAAAUUUCAAUUUAGUCCUUAUAAUUGAUCAUUUUUGCAAAAACUGCCCAAACAAGCUCUAAAAAUUAUAAAACUUUGCCCCGCGGUCCUUAGCAAUAUUACUAAGCUAUUGCAAAAAGAAUCGUAAUUUUCUAAGCUACCACGAAUAUUUUAUGGAUUUUUAAUCCUAUUUAAGCACUAGAAAAUUACGAAAAAGCAAGGUUCGGGUUUACCUUUGCCGAUUCCGACUUCGGGAACGCGCUCGGGACGUCUGACAAUGAGGGGCUAGCCAAAACCUCGGCCCAAUUCGGAGACUUUUCCGGUCACGGGUCUGUCUGGCCCGAAAUUU